rnacentral:rRNA from 1 species
UACGUAGGGUGCAAGCGUUGUCCGGAAUUAUUGGGCGUAAAGAGCUCGUAGGCGGUCUGUCGCGUCGGAUGUGAAAAUCCAGGGCUUAACCCUGGGCCUGCAUUCGAUACGGGCAGACUAGAGUUCGGUAGGGGAGACUGGAAUUCCUGGUGUAGCGGUGAAAUGCGCAGAUAUCAGGAGGAACACCGGUGGCGAAGGCGGGUCUCUGGGCCGUAACUGACGCUGAGGAGCGAAAGCGUGGGGAGCGAACAGG